rnacentral:rRNA from 1 species
CAAUAAGCGGAGGAAAAGAAACCAACAGGGAUUGCCUCAGUAACGGCGAGUGAAGCGGCAAAAGCUCAAAUUUUAAAGCUGGCACCUCCGGUGUCCGCGUUGUAAUUUUGUGAGGCAUCUCCGGGUAGGGCGCCGGCCUAAGUUCCUUGGAACAGGACGUCAUAGAGGGUGAGAAUCCCGUGCUUGGCUGGCUGUCCCCGUCCGUGUGAGGUGUCUUCGACGAGUCGAGUUGUUUGGGAAUGCAGCUCAAAAUGGGUGGUAAAUUUCAUCUAAAGCUAAAUAUUGGUGGGAGACCGAUAGCGCACAAGUAGAGUGAUCGAAAGAUGAAAAGCACUUUGAAAAUAGAGUUAAAAAGUACGUGAAAUUGUUGAAAGGGAAGCGCUUGAGACCAGACUUCGGUGGGGAGUGAUCAGCCAUCCUUCUGGGCGGUGCACUUGCUCCCCUCCGGGCCAGCAUCGGUUGGGACGGCGGGAUAAAGGUCCCGGGAAUGUGGCUCCUUUCGGGGAGUGUUAUAGCCCGGGUGAAUGCCGCCAGCCCCGACCGAGGACCGCGCCUUCGGGCUAGGAUGCUUGGCAUAAUGGUCUUCAGCGACCCGUCUUGAAACACGGACCAAGGAGUCUAACAUCUAUGCGAGUGUUUGGGUGUCAAACCCUUACGCGAAAUGAAAGUGAACGGAGGUGGGAACCCGCAAGGGUGCACCAUCGACCGGUCCCGAAGUCUUCUGAAGGAUCUGAGUAGGAGCAUAGCUGUUGGGACCCGAAAGAUGGUGAACUAUGCCUGAAUAGGGUGAAGCCAGAGGAAACUCUGGUGGAGGCUCGCAGCGGUUCUGACGUGCAAAUCGAUCGUCAAAUUUGGGUAUAGGGGGCGAAAGACUAAUCGAACCAUCUAGUAGCUGGUUCCUGCCGAAUUU